AACAAGGCGUACCUGCGGACCUGCGGAAGGAUCAUUACCGAGUUUACAACUCCCAAACCCAUGUGAACAUACCUAUCGUUGCUUCGGCGGAUCGCCCCGGGCGCCUUGCGUGCCCCGGAUCCAGGCGGCCGCCGGGGGACCUUAACUCUUGUUUUUACUGAGAAUCUUCUGAGUCGUUUUUACAAAUAAAUAAAAACUUUCAACAACGGAUCU
rnacentral:misc_RNA from 1 species